UACAGAGGCCUCGAGCGUUAUCCGGAAUUAUUGGGCGUAAAGAGCUAAACGGUGGCUCUAUUUGUCGGAGAUAAAAUACCAUAGCUCAACUAUGGACCUAUUUCCGAAACGGUAGAACUAGAGAAUGGAAGAGGUCAGCGGAAUUGCUGGUGUAGCAGUAAAAUGCGUUAAUAUCAGCAAGAACACCAAUUGCGAAGGCAGCUGACUAGGACAUUUCUGACACUACAAUAGCGAAAGCGUGGGUAGCGAAUGGG
rnacentral:rRNA from 1 species